rnacentral:rRNA from 1 species
UAUGUGAUCGUUCUCUCGCAUAUCAAUAAGCGGAGGAAAAGAAACUAACAAGGAUUCCCCUAGUAACGGCGAGUGAAGCGGGAAGAGCUCAAAUUUGAAAUCUUAAAGGGUUUCCCUUUACGAAUUGUAGUUUAAAGAAGUGUUUUCUGUUGAGGUUUUGGUAAAAGUUCUUUGGAAUAGGACAUCAUAGAGGGUGAGAAUCCCGUAUUUGGACCUUUACUUUCAACUUUGUGAUACACUUUCAAAGAGUCGGAUUGUUUGGGAAUGCAGUCCAAAAUGGGUGGUAAAUUUCAUCUAAAGCUAAAUAUUGGCGAGAGACCGAUAGCGAACAAGUACCGUGAGGGAAAGAUGAAAAGAACUUUGAAAAGAGAGUUAAACAGUACGUGAAAUUGUCGAAAGGGAAGCGUUUGACACCAGUGUUGUUUUUCUGAAAAUCAAUUAAAGAACUGUUUAUGCUAAGUUGUUUAGACUUUAUCAGCUAACUGUUUAGUUUUGAGCUUUUCUUUAAUGCACUUUUCAGUUAACAAGUCAACAUCAAUUUCUUUUACUGUAAAAAAGCUUGAGGAAGGUGGCUUGAGAUUCGUCUUAAGUGUUUAUAGCCUCUUGCCUAUGCAGUCGGAGAGAUUGAGGUCUGCAGCGUAGAUCCUUCGGGGCUAAAUGCAUUUGUGCUAAGUUAUAGCAUUUUAUAGACAACUUGUUGACUAUGAUUUGUCUUGUAGCUUACUCGCUUAUGUUAUUUUACCUACGCUUAGGAUGUUGAUCUACAGAGCGAGAGU